rnacentral:rRNA from 1 species
UUGAGACGAGUGGCGAACUGGUGAGUAACACGUGGGUAACCUGCCCUUGAAGUAGGGGAUAACACUUGGAAACAGGUGCUAAUACCGUAUAACAACCAAAACCACCUGGUUUUGGUUUAAAAGAUGGCUUCGGCUAUCACUUUAGGAUGGACCCGCGGCGUAUUAGCUUGUUGGUAAGGUAACGGCCUACCAAGGCAAUGAUACGUAGCCGACCUGAGAGGGUAAUCGGCCACAUUGGGACUGAGACACGGCCCAAACUCCUACGGGAGGCAGCAGUAGGGAAUCUUCCACAAUGGACGAAAGUCUGAUGGAGCAACGCCGCGUGAGUGAUGAAGGGUUUCGGCUCGUAAAACUCUGUUGUUGGAGAAGAACAGGUGUGAGAGUAACUGUUCACAUCUUGACGGUAUCCAACCAGAAAGCCACGGCUAACUACGUGCCAGCAGCCGCGGUAAUACGUAGGUGGCAAGCGUUGUCCGGAUUUAUUGGGCGUAAAGCGAGCGCAGGCGGUUUCUUAGGUCUGAUGUGAAAGCCUUCGGCUUAACCGGAGAAGUGCAUCGGAAACCAGGAGACUUGAGUGCAGAAGAGGACAGUGGAACUCCAUGUGUAGCGGUGAAAUGCGUAGAUAUAUGGAAGAACACCAGUGGCGAAGGCGGCUGUCUGGUCUGUAACUGACGCUGAGGCUCGAAAGCAUGGGUAGCGAACAGGAUUAGAUACCCUGGUAGUCCAUGCCGUAAACGAUGAGUGCUAAGUGUUGGAGGGUUUCCGCCCUUCAGUGCUGCAGCUAACGCAUUAAGCACUCCGCCUGGGGAGUACGACCGCAAGGUUGAAACUCAAAGGAAUUGACGGGGGCCCGCACAAGCGGUGGAGCAUGUGGUUUAAUUCGAUGCUACGCGAAGAACCUUACCAGGUCUUGACAUCUUCUGCCAACCUAAGAGAUUAGGCGUUCCCUUCGGGGACAGAAUGACAGGUGGUGCAUGGUUGUCGUCAGCUCGUGUCGUGAGAUGUUGGGUUAAGUCCCGCAACGAGCGCAACCCUUAUUG